UAGGGAAUCUUCCGCAAUGGGCGAAAGCCUGACGGAGCAACGCCGCGUGAGUGAUGAAGGUCUUCGGAUCGUAAAACUCUGUUAUUAGGGAAGAACAAAUGUGUAAGUAACUAUGCACAUCUUGACGGUACCUAAUCAGAAAGCCACGGCUAACUACGUGCCAGCAGCCGCGGUAAUACGUAGGUGGCAAGCGUUGUCCGGAUUUAUUGGGCGUAAAGCGAGCGCAGGCGGUCAAUUAAGUCUGAUGUGAAAGCCCCCGGCUCAACCGGGGAGGGUCAUUGGAAACUGGUUGACUUGAGUGCAGAAGAGGAGAGUGGAAUUCCAUGUGUAGCGGUGAAAUGCGUAGAUAUAUGGGGGAACACCAGUGGCGAAGGCGACUCUCUGGUCUGUAACUGACGCUGUGGCUCGAAAGCGUGGGUAGCAAACAGG
rnacentral:rRNA from 1 species